ACUCCUAACGUGUAAAACUACGCUAACCCUAACGUAGCAGGCAUAAAAGAAAUGCCUGAGUGCUUUCUGGUCCUGAUGAGGAGAAAAAAGGAGGUUCUCUUCUGCGCUGUUGAAGCAGUCCAGUCAAUGUGGAGUAGGAGUUGAGAUGGGGGGCUCUAUUUGAACUCAUUGGUAGAUGUAAGUGCAGGCGGUAGCAUUCAGGGGUGUGUCAGAAAUAUUUUAGCUGUUUUCACUGUCACAAUUAUUGGUGCACUUGCUGUCGUUAGCGCGAAAGGGAUGGUUUCUAUGAAGAAAAAAAAAAAGAGUUGUGGGCGUGUCGAAGGCUUGGCCCCAGCACUGGCCAAUCAGAACGUGCUCCAUGGCAGAACAAAACCCUCCAAGGUCACUCAAGCCAGAAGACCAUUAUCACUGACGUGCUGAAAUUGAAGAAAGGUGCCAGCAUGUGGAGACUGCUACUCUCCGUUUUCCUGGUUUGACCCUUGCCUGUUUCUGGAUUCUGUACCCGCCUG